AAAGCUUGCAACAGUGAUCUCAAGCAUGCAUUUAAUUACAGUUGUUUGGAGGUCUGCAUGCUUUCCUCAAGUUCUUAAGAAACGUGGGAGGAGGUUACAACUUUGGGUCUGUUUAGAUUAGGCAAAAGACAAGAGAGGGAAGGGCAUAAUGGAGGCUUGGUGCAUUUUAUCCUCACAACAACCCUGUGACAUAGGUUAAGCCGUUUGUUUUCAACCAGUGUGCCGUGGCACCCUGGGGUGCCUUGAAUGAUGGCCAUUCCCUCCCUCCUCUGAUGCCCUCUCACGUCUCUGCCUCCCAAAAGCUUGCAUAGCUGUUUGUUGCAGCAGCCCUGGCUACAAGCUCCCCUGGUGAAUGGUGUCUUUGGAACUGGCCAAUUGGUGCUUCCCAGGCCCCUGUGGGGCAGUUGUGACGAAGCACCUCUCUUUGGGGCAGGGAAGGCAGCUCAGAGACCAGGGGCAGCGGCUGUGGUUGUGGCUGCCCAGAGGACUCCCAAGGAGAGGAGGCUGAGGGAACACGCCACAAGGGAGGUGUUCAAAAAGGGGUGAGGGGCUGCUGGCUCUGCAGGCAAGGGGUGACGUAACUGGGCUCCUGAGUCCCAGAGGGAUGCCACAGAAAGAAUGUCGUCAAGGGAGCCAUGGGCUCAAAAACGUUGAAAACUUCUGGGUUAGGCUAAGAGACUGUGACUGGGCCAAAGUCCCCUCGUCUCAAGCCUGAGGAGGAAUUUGAACCUAGAUCUCCCUAGUCGUGAUCCCACCUCCUAUCCACUACACCAGGCAUGUCCAAAGUCCAUUUCGGGGGCCUAAUCCAGACCGCUGGUGGGUUUAAUCCGGCCCCUGCGGCCAUUUAUUUCCUGGGGUAAAAUCCCCCCCCAAAAAAAAAACACUUCAAAAAACCUCGACAACUUCAAUCCUAAAAAAUGGUCAAGAACCUUGGUUGGCCCUUUGGGCAGCCCUCGCAGCCCUUCAUUUCAUCAAAUCUGGCCCUCUUCGAAACAAGUUUGGAAACCACUGCCUACACCCUAGCUCUCAAAGCACUGGGGAUUUUACUAGUGCAGCCCAUCUCAGUUCAGGAUGUGUUCCGCUUGGAGGCCCCAACACACCCUGGUAAACUGGACAGUCAACUUGUCUUGAGCUCACCUAACCAUUUCAUUCUACAGAAAUGGACCCUGAAUCUCAUGGAGUACAAAAGCAGCAAACCUGCCCCCCAAACCUUGCAGAAAUUCCACACUGAAUAUGUGGCGUGAGGGAGGGGGAGAAACUCUUCCCCUUCAAGUGAUCUGCAAGAGCAAAAACAACUAAUACUGUCAAAUGGAGGCUGGAAAAAUCUCAAAACAACCACAGGCAGCCAAGUGUACAGGGAAAAACCAACAUCACUGUUUUUAAUUUGCAGUGAUUCCAUCAGCAAGCUUGUUAAAAUGGGGGGGGGCCUUAGGCUCAAAGGUGGCCAAGAAAUCUCCUUCCCUCAAAGCUGUAAUAAAACCACCACCACCACUUUCAAAAUCCGUUGCUUUAAUGGUCUCCUUCCCCGUUGCAUUCGUCCUUUACUUUUCUCUUUCCAAGAAAUUUACUACAACUCUCGUGAAGAAUUGCAGGAGGUGAAUUCUGCUCUUCUUGGCACAUCAAGGGCUCUUCCAUACAUCCUUUUUUGUGUAUUUAUUACUCGUACUCCUGAUACUAUCGGGCCAGUCAUAUGCAAUCUUGGUUUCCAGGCCAGGUGAGGCAAUUGUCUCGGGCGGCAGGAUCCACUGGGGCAGCAGAUCCCGAUCUUCCUUUGCCCCCAUUCCCCCUGAUGUAGCUCUUCCCACACUCCUUUUUCCUUGGGGUCCGGGCUCAAGGGCCAAAACACCUUGGGCUACCCCCUACCGCUCCCAAUACUGUUUGUGCCAUGCAGGCAUUUUGGGAAGGUCACUCAGCUUCAUUUCUGACCAAUUCACAUCCUUCCUGUAACUUUUCAUACCACCAAUAUUCUGGUGUGGGUGUUGUUUUCCCUUUCCCUUCCACUUCCUGAGAAAUAAUUUGGCACGUUAGAAGGAUGUUGGAAUGAAGCUAUAUGGUUUUAACAGAAAUGUAAUAAAGAUUUAAGUAAAAGUUGAUUGAUAAUGGGUAAAAAUGGAAAAAUUAAAGGUUAGACUGUUAAGAUAAAUUAUAGAACAAAAAUUGAGAAAGAUGGAAAGAAUUUGCUGAAAUAGUUAACUGAACUAGAAUACAAAAAGGGAGGUGUGAGGAGGUCGAUGAAACAGGUAAAUGAAAGGUAAAGAUAAGGAAUAUUGGAUGUGUUUUUAAAUGUUUUUUGUUUUUAAAUGUUUUUGCUUUUUUUGUUUUUAUUGUUGUGCUGCAUUGUUUCCUUUCUAAUCUGGUUUUUAUUUUCUUUUGAUGUAAUGUAUUGUAAUUUUUUACUGUUUUCUUUUUUUCUCUUUUUCUGUAAUUGUUAAACUUUUAAUAAAUAUCUUUUUUAAAAAAGAGAGAAAUAAUUUGGCAGAACUGGGAAAUGGCGCAGGACAACUGAGAAAGCAGAAUAAAUCCACCACAAAUGCACAAGUUAUGUUGUCAAAAACACACAAUGGAACACCAGAUUUGAAGGGUGGUGCACAGGACACCAAGCCGAGGGAGGACAAAAUAGCAAUAAUCCUAUAUUUAUAUUGGUACCUACUCAUUUUGAGGGACGCGGGUGGCACUGUGGGUUAAACCACAGAGCCUAGGACUUGCCGAUCAGAAGGUCAGUGGUUCAAAUCCCCACGACGGGGUGAGCUCCCAUUGCUCGGUCCCUGCUCCUGCCAACCUAGCAGUUCAAAAGCACGUCAAAGUGCAAGUAGAUAAACAGGUACUGCUCCGGCAGGAAGGUAAACGGUGUUUCCGUGUGCUGCUCUGGUUCGCCAGAAGCAGCUUAGUCAUGCUGGCCACAUGGCCCGGAAGCUGUACACCGGCUCCCUCAGCCAAUAAAGCGAGAUGAGCGCUGCAACCCCAGAGUCGGCCAUGACUGGACCUAAUAGUCAGGGCUCCCUUUACCUUUACCUUACUCAUUUUGAGGACACUAAAUUUUGUCCUCACUCGGGGUGCAAAGCCUGCCCCUGUGGAGCGUCCCCCAAGACAGGACCUGCUACCAGAGACAGACACCCCCAGCAUGAGCAGUAAUGGAUCCAAAUAUAUACCUACUCUUGUAUUAAAAGCAGCUUGCUCCUGACUGUCAACACACCUCUGUUCAUGAGAACUUUGGGAAUUACCCAGCAAUGGUGACAGAUCACACGGUUUUUAAGCACUAGCAGACACUAUCGGUUGCCUCUCAAUGCACUCCUCCUUCCUUCUGCUGUUGAGGCUUCCCAGCUCGUCUCAGUGGCUGAACACAAGAGAACUGGAGAACACGAGGCAUCAAGGUGCUGCAAGCCCGCCAGACAAGAACUCUGAAAAACGCACUGGAGACGCACAGGUAGCUUUCAGAGCAGUUAAAAUUCUGCUCCACAGUCUUAAAAGCUUCCAGCCAGGUUGCUGUGAGCCUGUUGCGACAGCAGCACGAAUGAAAUCUCACAGCACAAUUUCAUAUCCUCCAGGCUCCUCAUUCCUGAAGCUGUUGGCUCAAAUAUCUUUCUCAGGAGAAACUUGCAACAGCGGCAGGACUGCCACUGGAAGUCGCCGAGGCUACAGCUCUCAGAUGCCAACCCCAAAUAGUUUUCAGCAUCAGCCCUGGUGUCUGCGUCAAGGUUAAUGCCUACCACAGCCAGUUUCCAUUUGAAAUUUUUGAAAUUUGUAUUUGUAUUGAGCAUCAGGAUCAGAAUUGCUGAUGGUUUAAAUACCUUCAUUGCUAAUAAUACUCGGCCAAAUCUUUUUCUUGGCAGCGGGAUGCCUAUCAUAAAGCACUGCAGUUGGGGCUCAAACUAAAUUUCUUAAGGACUAUUUACAGAUCUGGGUGGGUCACGAGAGUCUUGAGCAUGCUAAAUUGAGGCUGUGCAAGUACAGGCAAGGGAUGUGUUUGGUUCUGCAACUAGAUAGAUAUUUUUACUUGUCCUUAACAGUGUUUCUCCCCACCACCACAACCCAAAAAAACCCUCUAGCCCUAUACGAUUUUUACGUUAAAAAAGUCUCUCUGAUUUCAGUCUCUUCUCCAAGAGAUAAAGGUCCUUUAACAGUUCUAGUUAAAUAGAGGGGGGAGUUGUCUUCUAUUGCAAAUACAAGUUCAUUCAGUGUGCUUCCAAACUGUUGCUAUUUUGGGGGUGGGAUGAGGGCCAGUGCUAUCACUGGGACAACUAGGCAGCUGCCUAGGGUGCAGUUUGUAUCCUGGCCCAAUUCAAGAUGCUCAUGAGAGCUUUAAAGCCCCAAACAGCUUGAGACCCAAAUAUCUGAGAGGCAGUGGAGAUGUGGCCAAACAUAUCUGCUGCGCCAGCAAGUUCUACAGGCUUGGUGCAGCAAUGGAGAAAAACCACUUGUGCCCUGGGGCUGGUGAACCUCAAACAGUUGAAGGAUGUGCUGAAGUCUCUCUUCCCCACCCAGUUCACCAGAGUCAUGGUAUGACCUCACAAUAUACCACCAAUGUUAUAACAAGGGCAGCCGGGAAGGAGAUGGACAAGACCUCCCAAAGAACACAAACUAGAAAGGCUUACUUGUAUGUCCUACUGCUGACAAGUGGAAGCUCUUCAAACCAAAAUUACUCUUCUCCAAGUUCAAGGCUUCAACAGCAAUCAUGCGAUUUUAAAAACAACAACACCAAACUCUUCUCUGCACUCCUAAAUAAUUAUAAGAAAAAACAAAAACUGUUGCGUUCAGUCCCUAGCUGAUACCAGUUGCAAAAGCUGCCUCAACACUCUCUAAAAAUAACUAUGCUAAUUGGCAACAGUAAACACACCAGUGGGUACAUCAAGGUAAAGAGCAGACGAUGAGCGCGCACCGUUGAGGGAUACCUGCGCAGGCCAUUAAACAAGCCCAAUAAUCCAAUUGCAGGUGCCUAAUUACAUUAGCCGAGGACACAAUGACAAACAGAACAUGCAGCCAGCUUCUCCUGGCCGUUUCCAGACUUCCCAUUUUGGGGAAGUCAUAGAUGCCAUAAGCUCAGUAGCGGAGCUACACUUGCUUUGCACUCCAUGCGCUGCCACAUAGUGUUGGGAAGGGAGAAUGUCUGAAAACUUGGAAAGCUGCCAGUCAGUGUAGAGCAGAGGUAGGGAGCCUUUUUCACACUCCAUUCUGGGCAACCUCCUGUUGACCACAUUCCAAUGUUGGGUGGCACCAGAGGCAAAAGUGGGAGGAUCUCCACGUGGCCACAACUGGACCUAUGUCAGUCACAAAACACGCCUGGCUAAUUACAAACACUGCCUACCCAAUGAGCCACUUCCAGUUGCCAUUUGUUGGACCCAUCGAGGCUGCAUUCACACCACAUUCCAUUUCCCUGUCGAUUAAAACCCACAUUGCAUUUUAUCUUUCACCUGAUGUAGAAGCCACUUCUGGAAAACAGGUGGAAUAUGGUUCGUGUCCGUGUUACUUGAUUCCAGGAAAAAAAUUGCUUGCAGCCCCCUUAUAACCCAGAAAAUCUCAGGGGUUAAGAGAUGAGAUUUGGGUAGAAUUCCUUCCUGCAAUUUUCAUGGGGGAACAGAAACACACAUGUGCAGAAAUGGUGGGGGGGGGCAGCAAUAUUGCCCAAUGAUGUUCACUGCUGUGUCACACCACAGCCACUGGUGUGAAUGAAAUAUAGCGUGACAUGCUGGCACAUUAGACAAAAAGCCACAGUUCCACAAUGUAACAGGUGCUGCAGAGUGAAAGGGGAAUUAGAAAACAGGACAGAAGAGCUAACAUUAAAAUCAGGAAAACUGAAAUGAUAUUCCUAAUGUCCUAGUGCACCCUGAGUGUUUAAAUCGUAACUGGGCAGAACUGUGGUGCCCAGUACUGUGUCCAGUUCUGGGCACCACAGUUCAAGAAGGACACUGACAAACUGGAACGUGUCCAGAGGAGGGCAACCAAAAUGGUCAAAGGCCUGGAAACGAUGCCUUAUGAGGAACAGCUAAGGGAGCUGGGCAUGUUUAGCCUGGAGAAGAGGAGGUUAAGGGGUGAUAUGAUAGCUAUGUUUAAAUAUAUAAAAGGAUGUCACAUAGAGGAGGGAGAAUGGUUGUUUUCUGCUGCUCCAGAGAAGCGGACACAGAGCAAUGGAUCCAAACUACAAGAAAGAAGAUUCCACCUAAACAUUAGGAAGAACUUCCUGACAGUAAGAGCUGUUCGACAGUGGAAUUUGCUGCCAAGGAAUGUGGUGGAGUCUCCUUCUUUGGAGGUCUUUAAGCAGAGGCUUGACAACCAUAUGUCAGGAGUGCUCUGAUGGUGUUUCCUGCUUGGCAGGGGGUUGGACUCGAUGGCCCUUGUGGUCUCUUCCAACUCUAUGAUUCUAUGAUUCUAUUCUAUUCUAACCACAAAAAACCAGUGACCAUGUGCUCUAAUCAACACCACACACAUGUGGCUGAACAGGAAGUCAGUUUCUGCUCACAACUAACCCAACUUUUUGCUCUGUAAAGAGGCGGGGGGCAAUGCUCUCAUUCUGUCACGUCUGUAUGCAUUGUGGCAUGCUAUUCACAGCUAGAUAAAAGCAAACAGCAAAUUAAAAAUCCUUGCUCAAGGUUACGGCAGAAAGGCAGACAAGAGAAUCAAAAGAGAAAAGUGUUAAUUAACUUUCUGUUCUCCUUUUCUCAAGACAGAUGUGGGCAAUUUGGACCAGAAAAAGCUACAGCUCAAGUUUUUGCUAUCCCAUUCACGUACAUCUUGCCCCAACAUUGCCCAUGGGAGUGGAAGGAUGCUCUGCCGCUAACCACAAAACAAAGGUGCACCACCCUGGCACCACCCAUUAGCCAAAAAAUGAGCAUCAGAAGGAUGGCCAAGUAGUUAUUAAAACACCUUUCUACACUGACAGCUGGCAUCCUGAGGGUUUCAAAAAGAAUCAGAAACCAUACUACUCCAUUUGCAACUAUUUCUCUGCCACCACUGUGACUUGCAUUAAUAGGAAGUUUGUUCUGUGAAGGGUGAGGUGGGCAGAUCCAAAGGCCUUUGGCAGUCUCCCCAAGCCACAUACAUCCAGCAUCCCUGCUUUGCACCCCAAGUGUUUCCUCCUGGCUCAAAUGGGUUCUUAAACUCUGAGAAUGUCUCCUGCCUGCCCACACAAAGGACAGAGAAGGGAAUGUUUGAGCAUGUGUAGAAACUAGCCUACUAUGCAAAAUUCACAUUCUUUCCUCCACUCACUUUUGCCCCAGAAAGGCAUCACCCUGCACUCGGUUCGAUGAGAAGUCGUCACCACUGGAACUCUUGUGUUAUCAGCUCACCAUUUCCUCCCGCCCCCGCUGCCUCCACAAUUUUUAUUAAAUGGAUGUUGAUACAAAGCAAUUAUUGGACUAACCUCCUUUUAUUCCUCUUUGUUAUUAGACACUGCACAAAGUAAUCGGAAAGCGCAGGCAAAAUCCUGAGCUCCUCUUUAUACAUUUGAACUUUCCCCCCCUUUGGGUCCCCCCUCCCUCUCUGCGCCAUGAUUUCCUUUUAUGUCUCUUUCAAUAAUCAUAUAAUUAUACAAUUCCUAAAGUACAUGCUGGCAACACUUCAGGGGAUUUUAAUCAUUACAGGUGACAAGGUUCUUCUCUUACAUUACGUGCGAGAGGAUUAACGUCCACUGCAUUCCCUUAGACAAGCUUCUCGGCCACCUCCAGGC